rnacentral:rRNA from 1 species
GAUCCUGGCUCAGGAUGAACGCUAGCUACAGGCUUAACACAUGCAAGUCGAGGGGCAGCAUGGUCUUAGCUUGCUAAGGCCGAUGGCGACCGGCGCACGGGUGAGUAACACGUAUCCAACCUGCCUACCACUUGGGGAUAACCUUGCGAAAGUAAGACUAAUACCCAAUGACAUCCCACGAAGACAUCUGAAUGGGAUUAAAGAUUUAUCGGUGAUGGAUGGGGAUGCGU